GUAGGGAAUUUUCGUCAAUGGCGCAAGCCUGAACGAGCGAUGCCGCGUGAGUGAAGAAGGCCUUCGGGUCGUAAAGCUCUGUUGCGGGGGAAAAAAGGCAGCAUCAGGAAAUGGGUGCUGACUGAUGGUGCCCCGCCGGAAAGUCACGGCUAACUACGUGCC
rnacentral:rRNA from 1 species